UACGUAGGGGGCAAGCGUUGUCCGGAAUUAUUGGGCGUAAAGAGCUCGUAGGCGGCUCAGUAAGUCAGGUGUGAAAACUCCAGGCCCAACCUGGAGACGCCACUUGAUACUGCUGUGGCUAGAGUCCGGUAGGGGAGCAUGGAAUUCCUGGUGUAGCGGUGAAAUGCGCAGAUAUCAGGAGGAACACCAGUGGCGAAGGCGGUGCUCUGGGCCGGAACUGACGCUGAGGAGCGAAAGCGUGGGGAGCGAACAGG
rnacentral:rRNA from 1 species